GUACACUGCCUCUGAGGAGAGCUCCACCUGGCUGGCAAGGGUGGGGGGCCAGCCCUAUCUUAGGGGCUCCCGGGGCCACCACUGACCUGGCUGGAUGCAUCGGGCAGUGGACCCUCCGGGGGCCCGAGCUGCACGGGAACCCUUCACCCUUGGGGGCCUGAGCUGUGCUGGAACCUGGAGUUCUUGUCCUCCCCACCCCCCUCCCCGGGCAUGGCUGCCAGGGGGCAGGUGUUCUGCCAGCAUUGGGCAGCCCCAACUCCCAGCUCACCUGCCCCCAGCCCAUGGCAGUGGUAUUGGGUAUCCCAGCAAGCCCUACUACCCCCCUGGGUAAGUGUAGAAGGGAAUAAGUUUUGGUGAAUAGAAACUGUUCUUUGGAAGAAGGUAGAGGGUUGGAAUAUGAGCUACUAUAUCAGUUCCUAAAAAAGAGGGGUGGAGGUGGGAAGUGUUAGGGAAAGAAAAUUAAUGCUUAUUGAAAAAUAAUUUGAGGGGUAGAGAGGAAGGGGAGCUAGAAUGGGAGAGAUGAGAACUACCAACAUUUGGACUCUUGAAGGGAGUGGAAGUUGAUGGAUAGGCAUAAA